CGCCUCUGUGGUUCCGUUUUGCUCCCGCUUGGUGUUGUCAGGAAUGCACUGUUUUUGUUUUUGUUCAGAUUACAAAUUUAUAAAGUUGUCCGUGAACAAAAUACAAUAUACAUGUGUUGUUAAUGGCUGCAGGCUCCUCGAUGAACAGUUGACAUGUCCGCUGCAAUCAUGAGUGCCACAACCAGCAAGCUCAACCUGCUGGUUAACAAGCUGCAUGAGUUUCUUGCACAGGACAGCAAUGGUACAACAAACGAAGAUCAUGAUGCAUUGAUAAACAGC